GAGUUUGAUCAUGGCUCAGGACGAACGCUGGCGGCGUGCUUAAUACAUGCAAGUCAACGAGAAACAGGGUGCUUGCAUCCUGUGGACAGUGGCGCACGGGUGCGUAACACGUAGGUAAUCUGCCCUUAGGACUGACAUAACUCCGGGAAACCGAAGCUAAUAUCAGAUAAUGCAGCGGCUCGGCAUCGAGACAGUUGUUAAAUCUUCGGAGCCUAAGGAUGAACCUGCGUCCCAUUAGGUAGUUGGUGAGGUAAAUGCUCACCAAGCCUGCGAUGGGUAGCUGGUCUGAGAGGAUGAUCAGCCACACUGGAACUGAGACACGGUCCAGACUCCUACGGGAGGCAGCAGUAAGGAAUAUUGCUCAAUGGGAGAAAUCCUGAAGCAGCAACGCCGCGUGGAGGAUGAAGGCAUAUUUGUUGUAAACUCCUGUAAGAAGGGAAAAAUGGGUCUGUUUACAGACUUUGAUUGUACCUUCAGAGUAAGCCCGGCUAACUAC
rnacentral:rRNA from 1 species